GCGGAGGAAAGUCACCCACCUCGCAGGCCAGAAAGAAAUGGGACAACUUAAAAAAAUACAAAGACCCAAGAUCUACAUCACUGGGGACGGCUACAUCCGCUGUGGGGAAGCACGAGCGAAGGACCCCAUUGGGACCAACCUCGGUCUGGAUGCACCGCUCCGGUGGUUCGGCUGGGGUGGGAUGGUUUGGAAAAGCCUGAUCCCUUUUCUCUCUCAAUGCCGUCAAGGAAGAUUCGUACCAUAUGUCCUGGUGAUCCCGGAAUAAUAUCCGGAGUUGUCAUCGACUCAUGCCACCUCACGACACAGCUACAGCAUUUAAAUGAAGUACAAUCAUUUCUGCUGUUCACAAAUAAGGACUCACAGGCUGCACAAUCCUCGGCUACUCCUCAGGAAAAUAUCUGUAACGUUGCUGUUUCACUUCAGCCGCAUGAAUCGUGUCUCACAUAAUCUUCCUAUGAACAUCUUCCCUGUUUUCUAGUGUAUUGUGUACUGUAACUUAUUUUCAAAAGGGAUUAUUUGCUACAAAAACAGUGACUGGGUUCUAUCAGAGUGAGUUGGACAGACGUGCAUGAGCUGUAAUAUUUGUAUGUAUUUGAUGAAGGCUCAUAAGGGUCAAGUUAAUUUUGUAGAGAGAGUUUGUACUUUCAGAGAAAUAUUGUAAUGAUUUCAGGCGUGUAAAUUUCAAGCAGGAACCUCAGAAACACACUUGGUGUUUAAGAGGUUAACGAUGUUUGUGUCAUCUCAAAAUGCAAAGAGACUCCAUGACAGCAGCAGGUGUUACUGUAUUAUAUCAGAACUGGAUCCAGCAGAAAUGUGUUAACCUGUUAAUGUGUUUGAUGAAGAGAUGCCUGAGAUGCCUUAUUUCCACCACUGUUGCAUAUCCGGGUUUUAAAACUAUGCGACCAGGUCGGGGUGAUCACCUGGGACUUGAAAGAGGGAGUGGCUAAACCACACAUUACAAAGUGUAAUAAGGUGGCAGCCAUCACCGAUGGGGAGAUUGUAGUGAAGCGUGUUUGAGGAGUUCUCCAAAGUCCACGAGGGGGGGCCUCAUAUAUAAUAAGGGGGCAUGAACUGAGAGGCACAGCUCCCCCUUAGGUCAUAAACAUCACUGCAUGGACUCAGUUUUUCAGGGCACCUGCCCUUCCACUGGCAGAAGGUCUUACUGCGAAAGCGGAGGAUCUUCUGCAUCCUCCUGGCCUGUAACGACGCCAAAGAUGAGCUCAACCAAGGGGGGCUUAUGACAACAGAAGGGGAGGUCGUGGAGUGAGGAAGGUUGUCAGGGAAACAACACGUUCCUAUAAAAACUCUCCAGCUGAAGCAGGUAAUGCUGCACCUGAAGUGUGAUACUGACAGCUGAAAGUCAUCUGGUACAUUUGGCGGAUGGUUGAACCAUGACAGUCUCCCUGUGGAGGGGGGCAGCCAUUCACCACUUUGUGACCACAUAAAGGUCUCACAUGUGAAGCUGAACCAGUGUGCUUAUGGCCCACAGCUGCACACCGCUGCACACCGCAUCAUUCACGAAGACUGCGGUAUGAAGAAGCCAUAUGUUCGUACCAACAUGUAACAGCAAUGUCACAUUAACAAAAUAUUUAGAAUGAUGGGUUUUGAAAUGUAAACAGAUGCACUGUGUUGGUCAAAAUAUGACAUCAUACUAUCCAGAAACGAUUUCAUCAUCUGUUGUUUUUAAUGUUUAUUCAACUGUAUUCUAAGCUGCCUGUUGUGUCC